UGAGACAUGAUAAAUAUACCUGCUUGUUACGGUACACAUUUGAAACAUCGUUUCUUGGCUCUUCGGUUUUGAACCUUCUCGUGAUUUCUAUUGAACGGUACCUUGCAAUAAUGUAUCCCUUACAACAUGCCAGUCGUGCGACAAGGAGAUGGUUGAUAUCAUUGAUGGCUUCAUCUUGGAUUAUUUCUAUUUUUGUUGCCUGUCUUCCGCUAUUGGGCUGGAAUUCAUGGUAUCCUGGAAUACCUUGCGACUCAACGUACAUAAACCCGAAGAGCUAUAAAGGGCUUAUUUUUUUAUUUUUCAUCGGCUCGAUCAUUGCUAAUUUUGUAAUGUAUGUAAAAGUUGUUAAAAUUGCAUUUUCACAG
rnacentral:lncRNA from 1 species